rnacentral:rRNA from 1 species
ACUCCUACGGGAGGCAGCAGUGGGGAAUAUUGCACAAUGGGGGAAACCCUGAUGCAGCCAUGCCGCGUGUGUGAAGAAGGCCUUCGGGUUGUAAAGCACUUUCAGCGAGGAGGAAGUCAGUAGCUAUAUCUGCUUGACUGUGACGUUACUCGCAGAAGAAGCACCGGCUAACUCCGUGCCAGCAGCCGCGGUAAUACGGAGGGUGCAAGCGUUAAUCGGAAUUACUGGGCGUAAAGCGCACGCAGGCGGUUGGAUAAGUUAGAUGUGAAAGCCCGGCUCAGCU